rnacentral:rRNA from 1 species
UAAGUAAGACGUGAAAUCGUACGGCUCAACCGUAUAUACAUGUUUUAAACUGGUGAGCUAGAGGAUGAGAGAGGUUAUUGGAAUUUCUAGUGUAGGAGUGAAAUCCGUAGAUAUUAGAAGGAACACCGACGGCGUAGGCAGAUAACUGGCUCAUUUCUGACACUUAGGCACGAAAGCGUGGGGAGCGAACGGGAUUAGAUACCCCGGUAGUCCACGCCGUAAACUAUGGAUGCUA